GGUUGACGUUCUUCUAUCCAUACCAUCUAUAUCUACAAUUCAUUGAAUCCAUUCCUCAAGUUCACAUAUCGCUUUACAAUCUGUAUUUCAUAUGGCUGAAAGUUCAUCAAGUUUCAGGGGACCCUGCUUCUGUAGGCACAUGAAUAAAGCAGACGAGUUUAUUAUGUGCAUUCCAGAUGCCGCUGUGUGUAAACUAUGGGGUGUAUAUAAAUGUCCUACGAAUGUUGAUAUACACACAGAAGAUGGCCGAGUAUUUAAUGUUGGAUUAAGCGCUGCUAAAGGAAAAAUAUUCUUUUUUCAUGGUUGGUCCAAAGUUGUAGAACAUUUACGACUAACCAUAGGUUGUUUGGUAUUAUUUAAUCCUAUAGAUUCUACUACCUUUAAGUUAACAUAUUUUCUUGAUGGGGUUAGUAAUAGCA